rnacentral:misc_RNA from 1 species
UAUCAAUGACGUCAUUCCAUUCAAUUGAUCCAGUUGUCGUAUAAAAGUUAUGAAUUAAAAAAAAAAAAAUUAUUGUGAUUGUCACUUGAAUAAUGAUGAAGAAGAAUUCUAAACAAUGCGGAUACCUUUCCUUGCAACAACUGUCUGCUAUCAAAAAAAAUGCAAGGAAAAUUCGUCGGAAGCGACGGUCCUCUUGCGACACCGCCAGUCGGCAUAGCAGCAUCAUCGAUGGCGACAACAUACCGACAACUAAAUCAUAUGCGAGAUACAGCUUCAGAGAAACAAUAGACACCGUACUACCAAGGUCUUCAAAACCGACAUUUCCAGGCAAAGUUCCUAAAUUAUUGAAAGAUGUCGUAGUUAAGAGAGAGCGUAAACCAUCAACAGUAUGCCAAACCUUCGUUGUUGGAAAUCCUGGAGCUAUGGAGCCUCUACCCAUUAUACCCCCAAUUGUGAAGUGUCCAAGACUUCAUAAAAAUGGAAGUGUUAUUCCUUACAGCAGUCUGGUUGACCAUAAUGAAUCUCUGACGUACCAGCAUUCUGUUGAGACGACUGUGUAUGCUUUGCCCAGACAACCGCAGUGUGAGUGUCCUUCUGAAGGCAGCAGUGUACAGACGAAAGCUCUGAACCAAUGGACGAAGACUUUACAGCAGAGAGAUCGACAGAUGAAUCACGUGAUGGAGGUUACCAAGACACCUAAAGAGCGUUUGUUGAUGAGUGAGACUAAAACAGAUUAUGGCUACAGCUUGAAGGUCAAGGACGUGUGGAUCAACAGUGUCGUGGAACAAACCUACGUCUUGAAAUCAGAGGAAGAAUGCAUUGUGCCGUACUAUUCCAUGUAUACAAAACAACCCACACUUGCAGACGUUUGCCAAAAACGAACAGAAAGUCCAAAAGAUACUGAAAUUGUUGCAUUACCUGAUGCCAUUAGAGUAGAAAAAGGCGCACCACCAGAUAAACUGAAAACUCUUCUAUUCUGUCCUCCUGCCGAUUUCCCUGAUUUCUGCCAGUUGGAUGUGAAGGGGCAGUCUUUGCUACAGUCUCCAGAUGACGACGAGUCAUCUUUAUCUACACGUCCAAGUCAUCGUUACAGCCUGAAAAUGUCCAUACAAAAAGGCAGGCCAAGUUUGAGUGUAAAUGGUAACAUGUAUACCUGGACAGAGGAGCCAGAUUGCAACAUGGAAGUCACUAAAAUCUAUAUGACUGGACACCCCGGCGAGCUGCUCAAGUCUCAACUCACAAUCGUCAACGAGGGGACCACCAGUGUCUACUUCGACUGGGAGUUACCAAGUGAAAAGAAAGACACGUUUGGUUUGAACCAUCACAAACAUUAUAAAUUCUACCGCCAUGGCAGAGACAAGUGUCUUGCCCCAGGUGAAUUUAUUCAAAUGCCCGUCCUGUUUCGAAGCCGUUACUCUGGAAUCUACAACCAAACCUGGAAAAUCUUCACUCGACCACGACUGGGUUGCGGUAUGGACAUUGAGAUACAUCUUUCUGGAGUCGUACUCCCUCGAGAUGACCACCGGAUCAGAGAACAAAUUAUUGAGAAUUUGGAUAAGAAAAUAGCGACACAGAUUGCUCGAGACAUCGUUGAUGAAAUGCUCUUCUGUGUGGCGUGCUCUCCAAAAGCUAGCAGGUCGCAGUUAUUCAACAUGAUACAGACCCGCAUGACUGACGUCGAGUUUGAAAAUCUCAAUACUGAGCUUCACUACCACAGUAAGUGGUACAGCCGUGUGAACGAGAUACCAAAUCGGUUGGAGCUAAGUCUUGACAGACUCUCCCAGUGUAGCAAGAAAUAUGUCAGUCAGCAGGAGACCAUACUGUCUAUUCCUUGUGUUAAAAAGAUUAUCGACGGCGUCCCAGUAGACAGUGAAGAGUUGAAGCAGGCACUGCUGUUCACGCUGAACACCUCUUUGACCUGGAUGAACUUCACAGUACCGCAGCCAAUAUACAUAAACAUGAAUUACAAAAUAUGCCACUGUUUGUACUGGCCGAUUAUGAUGUUUAUGAUGAUUAAAACAAUUUUGAAAUUCUGUCUGUGACAAUAGAUGAAAUUGUGUCCGUGUCGCAGUGGAUUAAGAGUAUUCUUCCUAGUGCAGAUCUUCCUCAAACGGAGGCUGGCAAAUCUGACAUGUGGUUGGACACUGAAGGAAAGUUCUCUUUAAAAAAUCUGGUUGGUACCGCAACUCCAAGUGGAUCAGGUUUUGGUACCAAAGCUGCACGUGGUACUCGGUUUGGUUC